GACGAACGCUGGCGGCGUGCUUAACACAUGCAAGUCGAACGGACAGGCCCUGCUUUUGUUGGGUGCUCGAGUGGCGAACGGGUGAGUAAAACAUGAGUAACAUGCCCUUGACUUUGGGAUAACUUCAGGGAACUGGGGCUAUUACCGGAUAGGAGCUCCUGCUGCAUGUUGUGGGUUGGAAAGUUUCGGCGUUUGGGUAUGUACUCGCGGCUUAUCAGCUUGUUGGUGUGGUAGUGUAUUACCAAGGCUUUGACGGUUAGCCGGCCUGGGAGGGUGACAGGCCCCAUUGGCCCUGGGAUACGGCCAAUACUCCAACGGGAGCAAGCAGUGGAGAAUAUUGCACACUGGGCGGAAGCAGGAUGGAGCAACGUCGGGUGGGGGAUCACUGCUUUCGGGUAGUAACAAGUUUUCGCCUGUGAAGACGCGUGAUUGCCGGAAAUGGGUAAAGAAGCACCGGCAACUUACUU
rnacentral:rRNA from 1 species